CAGGUUGAGCAGCGCAUGUGCAUCCACAAGGAGGUCCUGACGGAGCUGGACAUCUACCACCGAAUCCUCCGCUUCACCAACUACUUCAUCGCCAUGGUCAACAAGGGCAUCAUUCCCCUCAAGUUCGAGGUUCCGUUCGCCGGCGAGGUCGUGUUCCUCACCAAGGGGCUUCGCUUCAACAUCGAGAUGCUGCUGUUCUGGGGGCCCGGCGCGCCCUUCAAGAACAACUGGCACCUGAGCGACGAGUACAAGCGGCUGGAGAAGCGGCAGGAGCUGGCCGAGGAGCUGAACAAGCGGAUCCUGUACGUGGGCGUGGCCAACCUGGUCCUGUUCCCGUUCGUGCUGCUCUUCCAGAUCCUGUACUCGUUCUUCUACUACGCCGAGGUGAUCAAGCGCGAGCCGGGCAGCCUGGGCAGCCGGCGCUGGUCGCACUACGGCGAGGUGUACCUGCGCCACUUCAACGAGCUCGACCACGAGAUGACGGCGCGCCUCAACCGCGGCUACAAGGCCGCCUCGCAGUACAUGAACAUCUUCUCGUCGCCCGUGAUGGCCGUGGUGGCGCGCCACGUCGCCUUCGUGUGCGGCGCCAUGUUCGCCGUGUUCGCCGCGCUCUCCGUCUACGACGAGGACGUGCUGCAGGUGGAGCACGUGCUCACCGUCAUGACGAUCCUGGGCGCCGUGCUGGCCGCGUGCCGCGUGUUCAUCCCCGACGAGAACCUCGUGUUCUGCCCGGAGAUGCUGCUGCGAAAGGUGCUGGCCGAGGUGCACUACCUGCCCGACCACUGGCGCGAGAAGGCGCACACGUCGCGCGUGCGCCAGGAGUUCUCGCAGCUGUUCCAGUACCGGGUGGUGCACAUGCUGGAGGAGCUGGUCUCGCCCGUGGUCACGCCGCUCAUCCUCAUCUUCCGGCUGCGCUUCAAGGCGCAGGACAUCGUCGAUUUCUAUCGUAACUUCACCGUAGAGGUUGUAGGCGUGGGCGACGUGUGCUCCUUCGCCCAGAUGGACAUCCGGAGGCACGGCAGCCCCACGUGGCAGCCGGACGUGCUGUCGGAGGAGGACGCCCAGGAGGACGCGCGGAGGCCCAACAUGACCACGAGCGGCGGCAAGACCGAGCUGUCGCUCCUGCACUUCACGAUGACCAACCCCAAGUGGAGGCCCCCUCAGGAGUCCACGGCAUUUAUCAACGCGCUGAGAACGCAGGCGCAGCGAGACAUGAACGCGCUCACCACGCUGCAGGAGGAGAACGCUCUCUUCUCUUCCCUGAACUCCUUAUCGUGUGGCGGGCUGGGCGCGGCCACAACCAGCAUGUUCAGGGCCCCCUGGAUGCUUGGGGCCCCUGUUCAACCCGGCGGGGUCCAGCAGCAAUCCUUCUGGUCCCCCCGGGGCCUCCGUGGGGGAAUCUCCCACGUGGAGGGCUCCCGCCACGGCCCGAGUGGAGGCAUCCUGUCCACGGUCCAGCAGAGCAUGGUUCAGUCUAGCGUCGAGGGCCACAUAGGGAUGAGUAGUGUGACGUCGGGGCCCGUCGUGGACCCGGUGCUGGCCCCUAGUUGUCUCGGGCCGUCGUCCUUCCUCGGCCCGACCUUGCCUCAGGAUCUCACCGCUGUGGACAUGAGCCUCAGCACCUUGUACCUGCACGAGCUACACCAGAGACACCGGCACAGAGCCACCUACACAGAUGCGCCCCCGCAGCCCCCCUCGGGUCCCCAGGGGCCCCCUGGGGGAAGCUUCCAGCCGGUCCCGUUCCAGGGGCGGCAGCCGCCCGGUGCGAGCGGCAGCGCUAGUGGCAGUGGGGGCGACGCGCCGUCGGUGUCGUACCAGCGAGCGCAAGAGAAGACUCCCCUUCUCGCAGAACCCUAAAGCCUCCUAGAGGAACGUCUGGCCCUGUGGCGGGACUUUCGUUUCACGAUAACCCGGAAUUUAUUAUCCUGGUGUUCACUAAUAAUAAUAAUAAUAAAAAAGAAAGAUUAUAAUUUAAAACGCUUGGCAUUGCUACUUUACCCCGUUUGCCAAACGAGAAAGAAUGAUAUAUGGGCACAGUGGAUGUGUUCGGGAAACCGAGUCUGGGAAUACACGUGGGUUUCGGAAUCGCCCACACACGCAUCUCACUCAAACGCCUCCGACUGGGCUCCCGAAGACAACCACUGCUUACGGUCUGACUAGUACUGUAUCUGCGCUAGGUUUUCGCCAUCAGUUUGACGAUUUUUCAAAUGAAUCAACUAGUCCCGCAGAUUUGGUUUCAGUUUUUAGAUAGCGUUUGAAUUUUCAACUUGUGACAGCUGUUUGUAAAACGAUAGACUAAUAUGCUUCAAAGAGUUUUAUUGUGUAUAAAAUGUACCAUAAAAUAAGUAUUUUGUAUUUUCUUAACGUUAUAUUGGGUCAUGAUUUUUAUGCAUCGAUAUUGCAAUUAGAUGUGAAUGAAUGGAUCGAGAUUUCAUUGUCUGUUUUCCAAUAAUGCUUUGUGAAAUGGCGGUUUUCUUUGUAAAUAAUUUGAUUAAAUGAUCCUGUGAUUCUG